GGAUGUUCCAGAUGUCCGCGCUCAACAGCCUUGCAUCCUGUGAGGACAGCCAUCCCAUCACCCCGUCCCUCUUCCUCGCCAUCACAGAGGUGGCCAGAGGGCUCGGAUUUGCACGAGGUUGCCAGUAGCAAGAAACAUGCUGAAACUUCUCACUCCUGGGUCUUGCAGGGAGGACACCCCGGCUGGCUCUGCGAGGCAGGAGAUGCUGUGCAGGGUGUCAGGGUGCUGAGCUUCUCUGCUGCAGGAGGAGCUCUGCAGCGCUCCACGGUGACAGCGACCUCCCCAGCAAGCCCCCCGCGCUCGGAGGGCAAACGCAGAGCAAAUUGCCCCGGCAGAGGAGCAGCUGUAGCAGGAAACCGGAUCCGAGCCGUUCCAAGUCUUGGAGACUUUUUUUUUUUUUUUCAUUCAUUCAUUAUUUAUUUAUUUAUUUUUUGGCACCGGGCGGCACCGCUGGAUGGCGAUGCGGCUCCGCCAGCCGAGCCGUGCCGUGCCGAGCCGUGCCGUGCUGCUCCUCAGCCAGGCGCAGCCCCGACCUGCAUUUCUCUUGAAAACCCCAAGCUGUCUGUGCUCCUGCUGUGUGCCAUGCCCCCCCCCCUCCCGUCCUCCACCUCGACUGCUUCGUACCCCAGGGAGGCUGCAGCGUGCUGGGAGAGGGGAGCUGGGGUGGGGGCACUCGGCUUCGUUUCUGCUCGUGUGGCACAGCAGCUCUCAGGGCCAGGUUUCUCCGAGCAAGCCUUCUUCCCAAGCACGUUGUCUGCCAGCUCCACUGGUGUCUUUAUGUGCAUGGGGUGGAGGUGUGGGGGUGUAUGCAUGAGCACAUGCAGGACUGUGCACAAAGCGUGUGCGCACCUGUGUGUGCAUCCACGUGUGCUGGGAGUUUAUUGGGGAAUGUGCGUGUCAGAGGGCUGGGGGUGGCAGGGAUGUAUGUGGAACCGUGCCCAGCAGGACCAAGGCAGGUCCAUCAUCCCUGGGGUGGCCCCACGCAGGGCUGCCCCCUUCCCAGUCCCUGCCCUGUGUGCCUCACCCCUGUCUGAACAGCAUCCGAAUGGCAUUGCAUUGCUUCUCCUGGGAACAGCUGCUGGAGCUGUUGCAAAAAGCAUCCCGGGAGGAGUGCCCAGCCCAUCCAUCACAUGA
rnacentral:lncRNA from 1 species